UACAGAGGUCCCAAGCGUUGUUCGGAUUUACUGGGCGUAAAGGGUGCGUAGGUGGCGAGGUAAGUUCGAUGUGAAAUCUCCGAGCUCAACUCGGAAAUGGCAUUGAAUACUAUCCCGCUUGAGGGUCGGAGGGGAGACUGGAAUUCAUGGUGUAGCAGUGAAAUGCGUAGAGAUCAUGAGGAAGACCAGUGGCGAAGGCGGGUCUCUGGACAGUUCCUGACACUGAGACACGAAGGCCAGGGGAGCAAACGGG
rnacentral:rRNA from 1 species